AUUGAACGCUGGCGGAAUGCUUUACACAUGCAAGUCGAACGGCAGCACGGACUUCGGUCUGGUGGCGAGUGGCGAACGGGUGAGUAAUACAUCGGAACGUGCCCAGUCGUGGGGGAUAACGUAGCGAAAGCUACGCUAAUACCGCAUACGAUCUACGGAUGAAAGCGGGGGAUCGCAAGACCUCGCGCGAUUGGAGCGGCCGAUGGCAGAUUAGGUAGUUGGUAGGGUAAAGGCCUACCAAGCCGACGAUCUGUAGCUGGUCUGAGAGGAUGAUCAGCCACACUGGGACUGAGACACGGCCCAGACUCCUACGGGAGGCAGCAGUGGGGAAUUUUGGACAAUGGACGCAAGUCUGAUCCAGCCAUUCCGCGUGCAGGAUGAAGGCCCUCGGGUUGUAAACUGCUUUUGUACAGAACGAAAAGGCUCUGGUUAAUACCUGGGGCUCAUGACGGUACUGUAAGAAUAAGCACCGGCUAACUACGUGCCAGCCGCCGCCGUAA
rnacentral:rRNA from 1 species